UACGAAGGGGGCUAGCGUUGCUCGGAAUCACUGGGCGUAAAGGGUGCGUAGGCGGGUCUUUAAGUCAGGGGUGAAAUCCUGGAGCUCAACUCCAGAACUGCCUUUGAUACUGAGGAUCUUGAGUUCGGGAGAGGUGAGUGGAACUGCGAGUGUAGAGGUGAAAUUCGUAGAUAUCGGGAGGAACACCAGUGGCGAAGGCGGCGACCUGGGCCAAUACUGACGCUGAGGUGCGAAAGCGUGGGGAGCAAACAGG
rnacentral:rRNA from 1 species